GAUGAACGCUGGCGGCGUGCCUAAUACAUGCAAGUCGAGCGAACAGAUAAGGAGCUUGCUCCUUUGACGUUAGCGGCGGACGGGUGAGUAACGCGUGGGUAACCUACCUAUAAGACUGGGAUAACUUCGGGAAACCGGAGCUGAUACCGGAUAACAUUUGGAACCGCAUGGUUCUAAAGUGAAAGAUGUUUUUGCUGUCACUUAUAGAUGUACCCUCGCCGUAUUAGCUAGUUGGUAAGGUAACGGCUUACCAAGGCGACGAUACGUAGCCGACCUGAGAGGGUGAUCGGCCACACUGGAACUGAGACACGGUCCAGACUCCUACGGGAGGCAGCAGUAGGGAAUCUUCCGCAAUGGGCGAAAGCCUGACGGAGCAACGCCGCGUGAGUGAUGAAGGGUUUCGGAUCGUAAAACUCUGUUAUUAGGGAAGAACAAACGUGUAAGUAACUGUGCACGUCUUGACGGUACCUAAUCAGAAAGCCACGGCUAACUACGUG
rnacentral:rRNA from 1 species